GGACCAUAACUCAGUGGGAGAGCAUCUGCUUUGCAUGCAGAAGGUCUCAGGUUCGAGUCCUGGCAGCUCCA